CUGCAGUUCAUCCCUGGAAGCUUCCGUGGCUCAGCGAUUGGUAGAAAGAUUCAAUGCAUUUUUAAUGCUGCAGGUCUCAGCAGCACCACCCGUUCUGCAACCACAGGCACUUUUGUCUUCCUUGUAACAGGCAGCAUAUCAAAUGGUUCUCUGGAUUCUCCAGUCAGUAGACUGACCACAAAUGGGUCAGUGGACUUAAGCAACCCUAACAGCACAGACGUUUCAGUAAUAACACCUAGUACAAAUGCCACUGCAUCUAAUACCACAGCAACAUCAACCACCACUGCGGCUUCUACGAACUUGACCCAGACGCAUCCUCCUAACAUGACCACCAACGUGACCCAAAUGGGUCACCUCAACAUGACCACCAACCUGACCCAGACACACCCUCCCAACAUAACCACCAACCUGACCCAAACACACCCUCCCAACAUAACCGCUAACCUGGCCCAGACACGCCCUCCCAACAUAACUGCCAACCAGACCCAGACAAGCCCUCCCAACAUAACUGCUAACCUGCCCCAAACACACCCUGCCAACAUCACAAACUUGACCCAGACACGGCCUCCCAAUAUUACCACAAACCCGACCCAGACAGGCCCACUCACUGUAUCAAACAUUAGAACAACAUCAGGCUCUAAUACUCAGUCACCAGACAUCACUGGCAGGGAUAACUGCAGGAGGGAUAGGGCAUGUUUCUCCGCUCCACCUACCUGUAAUCCAGGUGCAGAGGGUUCCUGCUAUUUUCUCUCCACAAGAGGAGUAAGCGGAAAUGCAGAUAAUUUUACUUUUGAGCUCAGUGGCGAGACAGAUGGUUACAUUGGAGCUGGCCUCUCUCGAG
rnacentral:lncRNA from 1 species